rnacentral:rRNA from 1 species
GUGGGGAAUAUUGCACAAUGGGCGAAAGCCUGAUGCAGCGACGCCGCGUGAGUGAAGAAGUAUUUCGGUAUGUAAAGCUCUAUCAGCAGGGAAGAAAGGCCCUUUAAGGGAGAUGACGGUACCUGACUAAGAAGCCCCGGCUAACUACGUGCCAGCAGCCGCGGUAAUACGUAGGGGGCAAGCGUUAUCCGGAUUUACUGGGUGUAAAGGGAGCGCAGACGGCAGCGCAAGUCUGAUGUGAAAUCCCGGGGCUCAACCCCGGAACUGCAUUGGAAACUGCGCAGCUCGAGUAUCGGAGAGGUAAGCGGAAUUCCUAGUGUAGCGGUGAAAUGCGUAGAUAUUAGGAGGAACACCGGCGGCGAAGGCGGCUUACUGGACGAAGACUGACGUUGAGGCUCGAAAGCGUGGGGAGCAAACAGGAUUAGAAACCCUAGUAGUCC